UACAGAGGUCCCAAGCGUUGUUCGGAUUUACUGGGCGUAAAGGGCGCGUAGGCGGCAAUUCAAGUCAUCUGUGAAAUCUCCGGGCUUAACCCGGAACGGUCAGAUGAUACUGCUUUGCUAGAGUGCGGAAGGGGCAAUCGGAAUUCUCGGUGUAGCGGUGAAAUGCGUAGAUAUCGAGAGGAACACCUGAGGUGAAGACGGGUUGCUGGGCCGACACUGACGCUGAGUGCGCGAAAGCCAGGGGAGCAAACGGG
rnacentral:rRNA from 1 species